AGUUUAUAAAGAAAUAGAGAUCAACAACGGGGAUAAAGAAGAGACGAAGAUGAAGACAAAAGACAAAAACAUGAAGACAAAAAAAGGAAAAUCCAAGAUGAAGAUGAAAAUUAAGACAAAGACAAAUUAAUUUUAAGGUAAGAAAGAAGACAUCGACAAAGAACAAGAAGUCUUAGAAGACAAAAAGGACAAAGACCAAGCAGAUGAAGAAGACAACGUUGUCUGAGACAAAGGUGAAGAUUAAUAAGACAAAGGACGUGAUCAAGACAACAGAGACGAAGACAACAGAGAAAAGACAAACAGGAAGAAGGAGAAGAUUAAGAAGAAGGUGGCUAAGAAGAGAAACUAAAAACU